AUACGGAGGGGGUUAGCGUUGUUCGGAAUUACUGGGCGUAAAGCGCACGUAGGCGGACUGGAAAGUUGGGGGUGAAAUCCCGGGGCUCAACCCCGGAACUGCCUCCAAAACUUCCAAUCUAGAGAUCGAGAGAGGUGAGUGGAAUUCCAAGUGUAGAGGUGAAAUUCGUAGAUAUUUGGAGGAACACCAGUGGCGAAGGCGGCUCACUGGCUCGAUACUGACGCUGUGGUGCGAAAGCGUGGGGAGCAAACAGGAUUAGAUACCCUAGUAGUCC
rnacentral:rRNA from 1 species